AUUGCUGGGGGGAUUAGUGGCGAACGGGUGAGUAACACGUGAGUAACCUGCCCUUGACUCUGGGAUAAGCCUGGGAAACUGGGUCUAAUACUGGAUAUGACCUUCCAUCGCAUGGUGGUUGGUGGAAAGCUUUUGUGGUUUUGGAUGGACUCGCGGCCUAUCAGCUUGUUGGUGGGGUAAUGGCCUACCAAGGCGACGACGGGUAGCCGGCCUGAGAGGGUGGACGGCCACACUGGGACUGAGACACGGCCCAGACUCCUACGGGAGGCAGCAGUGGGGAAUAUUGCACAAUGGGCGCAAGCCUGAUGCAGCGACGCCGCGUGAGGGAUGAAGGCCUUCGGGUUGUAAACCUCUUUCAGUAGGGAAGAAGCGUAAGUGACGGUACCUGCAGAAGAAGCGCCGGCUAACUACGUGCCAGCAGCCGCGGUAAUACGUAGGGCGCAAGCGUUAUCCGGAAUUAUUGGGCGUAAAGAGCUCGUAGGCGGUUUGUCGCGUCUGCCGUGAAAGUCCGGGGCUUAACUCCGGAUCUGCGGUGGGUACGGGCAGACUUGAGUGAUGUAGGGGAGACUGGAAUUCCUGGUGUAGCGGUGAAAUGCGCAGAUAUCAGGAGGAACACCGAUGGCGAAGGCAGGUCUCUGGGCAUUAACUGACGCUGAGGAGCGAAAGCAU
rnacentral:rRNA from 1 species